CACAAAAACUCUUCAACAUCGUAUUUAAAGCUCACAAAAUGUAAAAAAUUAAGACCCGCGGCCCUGCCUCAACGCAAGAUGGCCCAAUAAGGCGUUUGUUUACUGCGUGGGAGGAGCAAGCCGCCCGCCCCGUGCCCGCUGUAUUUUCCCCUCGAGCAGCGCCCCCAGCAGGAAUAAACCAUGGUGUCUGCCAAGGAAUUACUCUCAAGGCUGAAGGCUGACGGCUGGAAUUUAGAUGAAGAAGGUGUCGAGAGCUUGCUGGAGGACAGAAAUCUUAACAUUCAGCAGGCCAAUCAAGAAGUACUUAACAGUGAUCUGAAGGAUGUUGGUGCCACUUGUCUUCAUGAUGACUUGCUGAAAGGAAAGAAAAAUUCUUUGCCAGGCCCCUUGGUGCUGCAAGUCUCCAAGAUGAGAAAUGUGUCAGCACCCAAGGCAUUUGAGGAAUCUGGUGGUGCCCCAAGGAUGCUGAGAGUGACCCUCACAGAUGGCUUCGGCACAGUGCAGGGCCUUGAGGUGCAGAACAUCAAGACCCUCAGCUUGAAAACAGCGCCAGGGACCAAAGUUCGGUUGAGUGGCAAAAUUCCCAUUAGUGGCGGCUUCCUGUUACUGACCCCCAACAACAUUACGGUGAUUGGCGGCACCGUCCAGGAACUCUACGACAAGUGGAAACUUUCUGCCAGUGUCUCCAAGUACAGUCGUGGGGUUUGUGCUGCUGAUGGGUCCGGGCCGCCUUCGUGGGUCCCCUUUGGGAAGCGCAUUGUUAAAAAUCAGACAGAGAUGCAGAAAUUCAAGGCUUUAAAAGAUCCUGAAGGAAAGGAAAAAGUGGAUGGAGAAUUUGAAAACCAGCGGAAACAGGUGGUAAAGGAGUUGUCCAAGGAAGGAAAUUUGAAGGUUUUUGGAGGAGGAAAGCAAAUGCUGGAUGCUAAUGUACAAAAAGUUGUCAAUGCAGGAUUUUCUCUUGAUGUUGCUGAAUGGGCCCUCCGGAACAGCAAGAAUGACCCCGUCAAGGCCAUCAAGGAGCUGCGUGCGGCUGCCAGUGGCCAGCCUCCUCCUGAACGUAACAAUUACUGGGAAGAUGACGAAGAGAGAAACACGGGUGGUCGUCGUGGGCGGGGUGGUCGGGGCCGAGGCAGGGGAAGAGGAAGAGGUGGUGGUGGACCGGAUGACAGCGAUGAUGACUUUGAGCCUCCUCCCAACAUGCCUCGCCCCUCAGGCCCAGCUUCACUCUUUGAUUUCUUUGACACUAAGAUGAUAGAAAAGAAAGGCAACGUAAAUUUUGUGGAGCCAGUGGCUGAUGUGAGAGGUCCUGCCUAUAACCCACCGGGAAGGGGAAGUGACCGCAGAGGCAGAGGAGGGGGUUACCAGAGAGGCCGAGGGGGCCGAGGCGGCUAUUCCAACAGGGGAGCCAUCAACGGCAGUGUAACACCGCCCAGCAUGACAGCAGAGAACUGGCCAGCACCAGGAGAGGAGAGAGCACCUCCUCCAAGCAACCGAAGUUACCUGGAGAGCAAGGAACUGAUGGAAGAGAAGGAGAGGGAGGAUAAUUCGCUGAGGAAGCCACCUGUGCGAAUGGGGCAAGGCGGAUCAAGGGACUAUCACCUUAACAACACUCAGGAUAGGGGACAAGGCUAUGGGAGAGUGGAUGGAAGGCAAAGAGGUGGAUAUUAUGCAAGGGACUCAGAUUACAGAGAAGGUGGUGGAGCUAGGCAGGAGGACAGUGGGAGAGGGAGAGAUAAUUAUUUCCAUGACAGAGGUGGGCACAGAGGACGUGGUGGAGGAAACUACAGAGGAGGCAGCAGAGGUAAUAAUUAUGGAGGUGGUGGAGGCUAUGCCGGAGGAGAUAGUGGGGGCAGCGGAUAUUACAGUGAAGAGUACAGAGGUGGAAGAGGAAAUAGUGCCAAUGCUUCGAGAGGUGGUGGAAACUACGGUGUUGGUUACAAAGAUGGUAAUUACAAUAGGUCAAUGGAGAACAGAGGUGGUGGCAACUACAGGAGUGACGGAAAUAGCUACAGUGACUCCCGGGGUGGAAACAAAACAAGUGGUGGUGGGGGAGGUACCAAUACUCAUUAUGGUGGCAGAUAUGAUCAAUACAGUAAUAGGCAAGGAAGCUAUGGUGGUAAUUAUGACAGCAGCUAUGGUGGAGGAAGAGACAAUUGGAGCAGUGGCAGAGGAGGGCGAUCUGCAGAGUAUUCGGCCAAAGAGCUGGAGAUGAUUCAAGACUUCCAGCACAGCAUGACAGUGUCAGGACAUUAUCAGCCAGAUUAUGACAACAGGGUUAGAAACUAAGGGAGGAGUGUUUCUUCAAAUACCAAAAACUUACAUUUUGAGAAAACGGCCGUUUUCUCAGACAUCGCCCAACGGGGGGAGCAGCACACAAGGUACAAGUCAUGUGAGGUAUGAGGGAGGCAGUGAUUACUCCAAUUUUGUUGGAACUUUGGAAUUUCAUCGUGGUGGCCGAGGGGGAGGCAGAAGAGGCCGAGGGAAUUACUAUUAACAAUGGGACAGCUGUUGGUCAAGACUUGGCUCUCAUCAUGGAGUGCUUAACAACUGUGUGCCACUUAACGUUUGCAAAAGUUAGACUUUUGUUAAACUGUGAUGCAAUAAUAAUCAAUAUAAACUUUUGCAGGAUAUAUAUAUAGUAUAUAUACUGGAAAGUUUGUAAUUCAUUGAAAUGAACAUUUGUAUUGUCAUGUAUUUUUUACAGUAGUUGAAGUUGAUGUUUGUGUAAAAGGCAAUGGGAAUUUGCAGUCUACAAGUUAAUUGUUUUAUCAGUUUUCUCUGAAGACUUUAGUAUAAUAAUAAGUUUUCUUUUGAUAUCUGUAAAAUAUUUUUACAUAGUGUAAUUAAAUGGGAUUCUAAAA